UGGACGCCACUGACCGGAAAAGUAGCGGCCCAUUGUCCUGAAAAGAGAGGGUGGGACCCGGGCUGAAAUCCCACCUGCAGGACACGGGCAGUGAACAACAUCCGUGAGGCUUUUCUUCGAAAAGGGAGACAUCCCCGCGUAGGAGAAGACGGAACCGGCCGUUACCCGGACCGAGUGGGUGCAGCCGUGCUGCGCCAAUCAGGGUGGAACCGCGGUGGCUAAAUGGAGCCUUCGUCCCUUGC
rnacentral:ncRNA from 1 species